CCUACGGGGGGCAGCAGUGGGGGAUAUUGCACAAUGGGGGGAACCCUGAUGCAGCGACGCCGCGUGGGUGAAGAAGCGCCUCGGCGCGUAAAGCCCUGUCAGCCGGGAAGAAAAUGAUGGUACCUGAAGCAGAAGCCCCGGCUAACUACGUGCCAGCAGCCGCGGUAAUACGUAGGGGGCAGGCGUUAUUCGGAUUUACUGGGUGUAAAGGGGGCGUAGGCGGCGAUGCAAGCUAGGAGUGAAAACCCGGGGCCCAACCCCGGGACUGCGGUUGGAACUGGGGUGCUGGAGUGCGGGAGGGGCAGGCGGAAUGCGUGGUGUAGCGGUGAAAUGCGUAGAUAUCAGGAAGAACACCGGUGGCGAAGGCAGCCUGCUGGACUGCAACUGACGUUGAGGCCCGAAAGCGUGGGGAGCGAACAGGAUUAGAUACCCCAGUAGUC
rnacentral:rRNA from 1 species